CAUGUGUAGGGGGAUCUGAAACCCUAGUUCACUUUAAACCCUCAGAAUCAUUUACAUAUUAGAUUAAAAUUUCCUCACAGGCUAGAGAGUAGAGAGUGAUCCCUGUGAUCAAGCUAUCGUCGACGUUAUAUUUUCUCCUCAAAGAACAAGGGCACACACGCUUAAAGCACAAAAAACAAAUCAGUUGUUUUGGAAAAAAAUGACAUCGACGUGUUGAAGCUAUCAUCGACGUGUCUAUUAUGCUAUGACCUUAUGAAAUACGGAAGUGUGUCCAGAGACUAUCAGUCAUGUCACUCCACCGAUGGACUCUUUAUCUUUACACAACAUUGAUAUGUCUAAUUCUUUUCCAAAUUCCUCUCUUCCUUUUAGGUCUUAU